rnacentral:rRNA from 1 species
GACGUAGGGGGCCAGCGUUGUUCGGAAUUACUGGGCUUAAAGGGUGCGUAGGCGGCGCGGAAAGUUGGGUGUGAAAUCCCUCGGCUCAACCGAGGAACUGCGCCCAAAACUACCGUGCUCGAGGAAGAUAGAGGUGAGCGGAACUCACGGUGGAGCGGUGAAAUGCGUUGAUAUCGUGAGGAACACCCGUGGCGAAAGCGGCUCACUGGGUCUUUUCUGACGCUGAUGCACGAAAGCUAGGGGAGCAAACGGG